GGCUCCCAGGCCACCUCCUCCCCAGCCGCUGCCGAGCGGUUCUCCGACCUCUGAGGGACCGCGCAGCAAGAGUACCUACUAUGUGCUGGACGGUAUUCUCUCAACCACAGAAUCUGCUACACCGGAAAGAACAGAAGCCCCAGGCUGGGAAGCAGCCAGAUAUGAGCCCAGCCAUCCGUCCUUCCAUGCUGCAAUUCCCUUGGCAUCAACCUCACUAGUUCAGGAGUGGACACAGGCGGAAAACAGAAUGAAGCCAGCUCCUCCCAGUCCUGGAGAGCAGGUGCGUCAACCAGAGGCAGGAAACAGACAAAUCAGCCCAGAUCAAUUCACAGAAGGACCAGAGUCCUGCUUGGCAGACUUCCUUACAGAUCCUCUCCUUUGCCUUUGGACUCCUCAUUGCUCUGGCCUUCCAAAUUCAGUUCUUCAGAGGAGCUCCCCUUGAG